GACGAACGCUGGCGGCGUGCCUAAUACAUGCAUGUAGAACGCUGAAGGAGGAGCUUGCUUCUCUGGAUGAGUUGCGAACGGGUGAGUAACGCGUAGGUAACCUGCCUGGUAGCGGGGGAUAACUAUUGGAAACGAUAGCUAAUACCGCAUAAGAGUAGAUGUCGCAUGACAUUUGCUUAAAAGGUGCAAUUGCAUCACUACCAGAUGGACCUGCGUUGUAUUAGCUAGUUGGUGAGGUAACGGCUCACCAAGGCAACGAUACAUAGCCGACCUGAGAGGGUGAUCGGCCACACUGGGACUGAGACACGGCCCAGACUCCUACGGGAGGCAGCAGUAGGGAAUCUUCGGCAAUGGACGGAAGUCUGACCGAGCAACGCCGCGUGAGUGAAGAAGGGUUUCGGAUCGUAAAGCUCUGUUGUAAGAGAAGAACGAGUGUGAGAGUGGAAAGUUCACACUGUGACGGUAUCUUACCAGAAAGGGACGGCUAACUACGUG
rnacentral:rRNA from 1 species